GACGAACGCUGGCGGCGUGCCUAACACAUGCAAGUCGAGCGGAGCGGCGUACGGGUGAGUAAUGCCUAGGAAUCUGCCUGGUAGUUGGGGAUAACGUCCGGAAACGGGCGCUAAUACCGCAUACUAUCAUAUGAGCCUAGGUGGGCUUAGCUAGUUGGUGGGGUAAAGGCCUGCCAAGGCGACGAUCCGUAACUGGUCUGAGAGGAUGAUCAGUCACACUGGAACGGAGCAACGGUCCAGACUCCUAUGGGAGGCAGCAGUGGGGAAUAUUGGACAAGGGGCGAAAGCCUGAUCUAGCCAUGCCGAGUGUGUGAAGAAGGUCUUCGGAUUGUAAAGCACUUUAAGUUGGGAGGCGUUACCAACAGAAUAAGCACCGGCUAACUUCGUGCCAGCAGCCGCGGUAAUUC
rnacentral:rRNA from 1 species